GACGAACGCUGGCGGCGUGCUUAGCACAUGCAAGUCGAACGGAAAGGCCCUGCUUUUGUGGGGUGCUCGAGUGGCGAACGGGUGAGUAACACGUGAGUAACCUGCCCUUGACUUUGGGAUAACUUCAGGAAACUGGGGCUAAUACCGGAUAGGAGCUCCUGCUGCAUGGUGGGGGUUGGAAAGUUUCGGCGGUUGGGGAUGGACUCGCGGCUUAUCAGCUUGUUGGUGGGGUAGUGGCUUACCAAGGCUUUGACGGGUAGCCGGCCUGAGAGGGUGACCGGCCACAUUGGGACUGAGAUACGGCCCAGACUCCUACGGGAGGCAGCAGUGGGGAAUAUUACACAAUGGGCGGAAGCCUGAUGCAGCAACGCCGCGUGCGGGAUGACGGCCUUCGGGUUGUAAACCGCUUUCGCCUGUGACGAAGCGUGAGUGACGGUAAUGGGUAAAGAAGCACCGGCUAACUACGU
rnacentral:rRNA from 1 species